UGGGACUCAAGCAUGUAGAGCAAGAAGACUUUCUGUCCCUGUGGAAGAGACAGGAUUCUUUAUAAAAGAUGCACGUUAGCUUCCUGAACGAGCGGGACGUCAAAUAGGUGACUGAUGGCUUGGUCAGCAGCAAGGGCAGACGUUACGCCUUUAAAAGACGUCUUCAGAGGUCCCUCAGGGUCUCGCUCACUGCUUUUUUCCUACAUCAACCCAUCUCAAAGGUCUCAGUUGAGUCCCGGGGGCAGACGCCCAAGAAGGGUGCAGGGCGGCUGAAGUGCUGACACGGCUCCAUCAAG